rnacentral:lncRNA from 1 species
ACUUUUUUUUUUUUUUUUUUUUUUUGGCAUAUGGAGGUUCCCAGACUAGGGGUUGAAUCUGAGCUGCAGCUGCCAGCCUACACCACAGCCACAGCAAUGCGGGAUCCAAGCCGCAUCUGUGACCUACACCACAGUUCACAGCAAUGCCAGAUCCAUAACCCACUGAUCGAGGCCAGGGAUGGAACCCGCUUCCUCACGGAUAUUAGUGGGAUUCGUUUCCACUGUGCCACAACAGGAACCCCUUAACUUUAACCAUUUAACCAGCAAGCUAUUUCUUUUGUUGGUUCUUGUGGGCAUAUAAAUAAGCCUUUUUUUCUGUUCAUCUUUUCUCAAUUUAAUUCACAGGCUCCAGUCACUGCACCUAACAGGGGAAAGGGAAACGUUUAUCUUGCCCCCAAAAGUAUCACCUCAGGGCAAAACAUUCUGGAAUUCCUGGACUGUGUUGAUUUGGAAAUGGGCAGGGGGAUGGAAUUGGAAGGACAUCCGGGACGUACUAUCAUGACAGAUUCAGACCCACCUAUAAAACUGGGGGCAGUCCCAUUCUCAGAGACAAAUUUGAGAAGAGCCCAGGAUCCUGUUCUCCUGGUAAUGCAGCUGUUCACCCCUCCUUUUUAAUUCCUUUCCUUUUUCCUUGGUAGAUGAUACUGAUCCAAAAGUUGGACACUAAAACGUUCAAAAUUUGAACUCUGCACGUGUUUUCCCCUUAGGUACUUAUUCUCCAGAUGUGUGUGCUGCAGCAUGAAUACCCUAUGCUCAAUUUCAAAAUAAAAGUAAUUUCACCCUUUUCCCCUCUCCUUCCCACACAGAGAUUUUUCUGGUAUUUAAAGUGCAGCUAACAACUUUUCCCUCUCUUGGAAUUUUCAGUGGCAUCUGCAUGAAAAUUAAGAAAUACUUUGGGAAAGUAAUUUAAUUUUGCAAAUGCAAAGCUAAUCUCCGCUCAUCAUCAAGGCAAUAAAACAUAAGAGAUGUCUAUAUGGGGAAAUCUCAAUUUUAAAAACCUUACAGAAGUGAAUUACAAUGAAGUAAACAAUCUUAGGAGACUUGAAGGAGCAGCCCAACCACGGGUUCAUCCAGCCUGGAAUUCCGAGGCCCUGGUCCAGCUCACCAGGCUACUGGCAGGGACGGUGGCAACUUUUUCUGCUUUGUUCCCCUUCCAAGAUUUCUGGCUUCUGGCGGAAGACAGAAAGCUUCACGUUGAGAAAAAUCAAACCGGAACAAGAGAGAACACUUAUGUGUGGCGUUUACACACUUUCAUCCUUCAGAAGAUGGUUCCAUUCCCAACCUUUUUUAAAGAACUCCGCACCAUCUGGCUUUCACAAGCAGAGCUUCAUCCACUCCCACUUGCUUCAAUGAGGAAAAACCCUGCUCUCCCAGGGUUUAGCAAACGGACUGACUUUGGAGUGCAGAUAGAGCUGAAGCAGAUUUUCUGCAUUAUUUGGCAACGUUUCUUUGCAAAAUUAAUUUCACAGAUGCAUAGUCCCCUAUGUGGACUGUAAGUAUUUGGGAAGAAUUUUUUUUUUCUCUUUUCUAUCCUAGUACUAAGAAUCUCAACAGCACCCUAGUAUUAACAGGUUAAGACUCAGUAGUCAAACAAGAAAAAUGAUGAGCCUUAGUGGCGCUUAUCAGACACAUUAGGUUGACUUUUAUCAACUAAGAAUCACUUCCCUGGAGUUCCCACUGUGGCACAGGGGUAAGGAACCCGAUUAGCAGCCAUGAGGACUCGGGAUGGAUCCCCAUCCCUGGCCUUGCUCAGUGGGUUAAGGAUCCAGUGUUGUUGUGGGCUGCAGCUGUGAGCUAUGGUGUAGUUCUCAGAUGCAGCUCGCACUUGGUGGGCUGCAGCUGUGAGCCGUAGGCCAGCAGCUGUAGCUCCAAUUCAGCCUCUAGCCUGGGAGCUUCCCUGUACCACAUGCGCAGCCCUAAAAAGAAAAAAAAAAAAAAGAAAGAAAAAAAAAGAAUCUCUUCACAGAUUCACUGAUAAUCUCGCUAUUGCAAUAGCUUUUUAACUAUUUCUUUUUAUUCAAUAAAUAAAUGAUGCAAGAGACAUUUUUAAUGAGUUAGCUUUAGAGCUAAGGGGUGAAAAGCAUAUUCUUAUACUUCUGGCACUUUAUUUUCAUUAAUAAUCAGUUGAAAUGAUACUUUGAAAAAAGACUCUUGUCUCCUCUUCAGGGUGUCCAUGGUGGUUCAAAACCAUACUCAACAUGCAACCCUCCCAAUAAUACUUUUCUAACCCUGUCGUGAAUGGGAGAUUAAACUUGCCAUCUGCCUCUGCCAGGACUGCAUCAUGAGCCACUGAAGCUGCCAACCUGCCACACCCAUGAAGGGAGGCACUGUGUGCUCUGGGAAAACUGGCAGAACAGGUCUUCUGAUAGAUAUUUUCAGGAGAAGUUUUUAUGAGCCCAAUUCUUGCAUCUCCUUGUAUCUAGGAAAGUACUAAAAUCCUUCAUGGUGAUGUCUUCUCAUGACCAGCAGGAACCUUCAUGAGACCAGCAGCGCCCUUCUGCAAAAUGUGUGCUUGAUUGGAACCUUCACAAGAUCAGCAGCGACCGUCUGCAAAAUGUGUGCUUGAUUGCAUGUGCCUCCCUGGCUUCAGCAAAAUCACAUCUACACUGACCUGCCCCCUACUCUCUGGAGCAUUUUUUUCUGAAAUGUUGCCUCCCGCGCUAGAGUCCUCAUUUUGCCCCAAAUAAAACGUCACUCUCAACUUAGGUUGUGCAUAUUUUGAAGUCGACAUCGGAAACCUUAGGCUCUCCUUCAUUCUCCUUUCUAUUCAAUCUACAUUUUAAAAACUAACUAAACGGUCAAGACGUAUAUAGUUUUUUAAAGUUAGAUUAUUUUCAGUGAACUGAUUCCUGGGCUGUGCCUCAUGGAUCAGGAUUCUGUUUAAAUACUGAGCCCUGUGGCCUCAAAUUAAACAAAUUCCUGUCUUCUUCCAGUUUUAUGUCUUCUUUCUACUUGGACUUUCUUCUUCCUAUUUGCACUAUGCCCACCACAUCCCUUCUCUCCCUGACGCCAACAUCUUCAUGUUGUUCAAAGUCUUGUUUAAUCACCUAUAAUUCUCUCAAAGCCUAGAUUUUCAAAAACAAAUGGUAAUCAUUUUCUUCUUUCCUGACAUCCAAAACUAACGUUACCCCCAAAGUAAUUAUAGACCUGGGUCAUACAACUUGACAUUAUUUUUGAAAUUGAUUUCAGGAUUGAUGCUGUCCUCAAAGCCCAUGAUGUUAACUAUUUUAGAAUGUAGCUUAAUUCUCUUAUAUCUUUUAUAAACUCAAAAAUGUAUGAUAUACUCAGUACAAUAAACCAGUGAUGGUGUUAUUAUGUCUUCCCACCAGCCAACCCUUUUUAGGACGACAUGUCAGGUUUCUCCCCACCCAUAUCAUGCAAUAAGAGAUGUCAUUUUAAGUGCCAUAUACAUAAGAGCAACGUUAUAUCCUUAAAAAAGGCAAAAACUGAAAGUUUACAGAAAGAAACAAACAAACCUAUAAUGUUAUGAGAUUCUAAUAUAGUUCUUUCAGAAGCUUUUGAGAUAUAAAGAUAAAAAUAAGAACAAUAGCAUUUGGAUAAUAUCAUUUAAAAUGUGGGACUUUGGGAGUUCCCGUCAUGGCGCAGUGGUUCCGACUAGGAACCAUGAGUUGUGGGUUUGAUCCCAGACCUUGCUCAGUGGGUUAAGGAUCCAGCGUUGCCGUGAGCUGUGGUGUAGGUUGCAGACAAGUGNGACCCGUGUUGCUGUGGCUGUGGCGUAGGCUGGUGACUACAGCUCCAAUUAGACCCCUAGGCUGGGAACCUCCACAUGCUGUGGGAGGCGGCCCUAGAAAAAGGCAAAAAGACAAAAAAAAAAAAGAAAAAAAGUGGGAUUUUAUAGCUCAUGAAUAGUACAUGCACUUGU